rnacentral:rRNA from 1 species
CCUGGCGACGGUUGUCCAGGUUCAAGUGCGUAGGCUGAGUGUUUAGGUAAAUCCGGAUACUCUUAAGGCUGAGACACGACGUCGAGCUACUACGGUAGUGAAGUCAUUGAUGCCAUGCUUCCAGGAAAAGCCUCUAAGCUUCAGAUUGUAAGGAAUCGUACCCCAAACCGACACAGGUGGUCGGGUAGAGAAUACCAAGGCGCUUGAGAGAACUCGGGUGAAGGAACUAGGCAAAAUGGUACCGUAACUUCGGGAGAAGGUACGCUCUUGAUGGUGAAGUCCCUUGCGGAUGGAGCUGACGAGAGUCGCAGAUACCAGGUGGCUGCAACUGUUUAUUAAAAACACAGCACUGUGCAAAAUCGUAAGAUGACGUAUACGGUGUGACGCCUGCCCGGUGCCGGAAGGUUAAUUGAUGGGGUUAGCGUAAGCGAAGCUCUUGAUCGAAGCCCCGGUAAACGGCGGCCGUAACUAUAACGGUCCUAAGGUAGCGAAAUUCCUUGUCGGGUAAGUUCCGACCUGCACGAAUGGCGUAAUGAUGGCCACGCUGUCUCCACCCGAGACUCAGUGAAAUUGAAAUCGCUGUGAAGAUGCAGUGUACCCGCGGCUAGACGGAAAGACCCCGUGAACCUUUACUACAGCUUGGCACUGAACAUUGAACCUACAUGUGUAGGAUAGGUGGGAGGCUUUGAAGACGUGACGCCAGUUGCGUUGGAGCCGUCCUUGAAAUACCACCCUUGUAUGUUUGAUGUUCUAACGUUGGCCCCUAAUCGGGGUUGCGGACAGUGCCUGGUGGGUAGUUUGACUGGGGCGGUCUCCUCCCAAAGAGUAACGGAGGAGCACGAAGGUGGGCUAAUCACGGUUGGACAUCGUGAGGUUAGUGCAAUGGCAUAAGCCCGCUUAACUGCGAGAAUGACGGUUCGAGCAGGUGCGAAAGCAGGUCAUAGUGAUCCGGUGGUUCUGAAUGGAAGGGCCAUCGCUCAACGGAUAAAAGGUACUCCGGGGAUAACAGGCUGAUACCGCCCAAGAGUUCAUAUCGACGGCGGUGUUUGGCACCUCGAUGUCGGCUCAUCACAUCCUGGGGCUGAAGUCGGUCCCAAGGGUAUGGCUGUUCGCCAUUUAAAGUGGUACGCGAGCUGGGUUUAGAACGUCGUGAGACAGUUCGGUCCCUAUCUGCCGUGGGCGUUGGAAGAUUGAAGGGGGCUGCUCCUAGUACGAGAGGACCGGAGUGGACGAACCUCUGGUGUUCGGGUUGUGUCGCCAGACGCAUUGCCCGGUAGCUAAGUUCGGAAUCGAUAACCGCUGAAAGCAUCUAAGCGGGAAGCGAGCCCUGAGAUGAGUCUUCCCUGAUACUUUAAGUAUCCUAAAGGGUUGUUCGAGACUAGAACGUUGAUAGGCAGGGUGUGUAAGCGCUGUGAGGCGUUGAGCUAACCUGUACUAAUUGCCCGUGAGGCUUAACC